GUUGACCACGAUAUUGAUGCAUCAGUAAGUUCUUUAGCCUCACACAUCUUUUUGUGUUUUCUCAAAUUGUACAAUUGUUUCCUUUGUCUGUAGUUGAGUUGAAGUAAAUGCAUGCAUAUGUUUGUCUCUGGUUAUGGUAUAUUAUAUUACUAUUGUAAUGUAUUCUUCUUUUCAUGUAUUCCCUUUCUGUUGACCUCUUUAUUAUUUCUCAUGAUUCUUAUUUUGUUUCAUGUUAAUGAAAUGAUUAAGAAUCAUCUAAAUAUGUUGCAUCCAGUAAGUUCUUUAGCCUCACACAUCUUUUUGUGUUUUUUCAAAUUGUUUUUGUCCUUUCUCUGUAGUUGAGUUGAAGUAAAUGCAUGCAUAUGUUUAACUCUGGUUAUGAUAUAUUAUAUUGCUAUUGUAAUGUAUUCUUCUUUUCAUGUAUUCCCUUUCUGUUGACCUCUUUAUUAUUUCUCAUGAUUCUUAUUUUGUUUCAUGUUAAUGAAAUGAUUAAGAAUCAUCUAAGUUACAAAUAUUUUUAAUUUUGUGGCUAUUAAUUACUUUCCUGUGGAUCAAUUUUUUUUUCCCUUUUGGAGUCAUGCCAAUCGUAUCGUCCUUUUAUAUAACUUGAUUAUUUCCAACUUUUCAAUGAGAGAAUAGUUAGUAAAAGAGAAUAUUAUUGACAACAAUAUUUUUUAUUUAUUAAAAAAAAAUUAUAUAUGUAUUAUUUUUUUUUCUUACUUAAAUUAUGUCAUACUAUGUACUAUGACAUACUUAUACAAAAUUUAUAGUAAUAAUUAACCGAUUAGGGUAUAGGAAUAUGCUUUUAAUUUUUUUUGCGAAUGUGUAUACUUCUGAUUCUUGUUGAAUAAGUAUAUUUUUUAAUUGUAACUGUGAUAUAGCUUAUUUUUGUGUAAUUGUUAACCUUUUUGUGUCUCAUUUAUUCGAAUUGAAUAGGUUAAGUUGAAUAGUAAAUGAUAACUUUAUUCCUAUACAAAAUCUUAAAAUAUAAGUUUUUCUUGUACAACUUUAAAUAUAUGAGAAGCAAAACUCCUAAAUAUAUAAUGGAGAUAGGAAAAGGUAUUGUUUGAGGUUAGCUUUCAACCUUUCACUUAGUUAUAUUAUUUUUGUAGAAUACUUAUUGAUGUAUUUAUAUUUUAUAAUGAUGUAUAAUGAUUUAUUAUUUUUUAUUUACUUGAGUCGGAAGUCUAUCGAAAAUAAGCUCUAUAUUCGAGAUAAGAGUAAGAGUUCUUUUAUGAAGGCACUAAAAGAACAUGAAUUCCCUGUUCUAAGACUAUGGAUUGCAGUCGACAUAGUGUGAUAUGAUUUUUGAAAUAAUCAUUUACAGAACACCAACUUAUUCACUAUGACUUGCGAUUUUACGAGAAAGGAGCAAGCUAAGAUUGAAAGUUGAAUAAAGGAAAAUUUUAAAAGCAUUCAUAUUAUGAUGAAGAAAGUGGUGAUGAAGAAAAUAAAGAAGAAACGUCAAGCCGCUCGAGCCUUUGCAGUUGGUGAAGGGAGAGGAUAAUCAUCAAGCUAGGAAAAAGUAUAUCAAUCUUAAUCAUUAAACUAGGAAUGAGCAUGAUCUUGAGGAUGAGGUAAAGGUUGAAUCUGAAGAUGAUGUUGAACUAGAGAAGAGCCUUAUCAAGUAGAGGAAUAAGACUAUCCAUGCUGCGUAUCAAGAGAAGAGAAACUUUUCCUCGAGAAAUACAUACAUAUAAGGAUCAAUUCUACUUGCAUAGUACUAAAAAACUACUAGAAGCCAAAACACGUAAAUGAAAAUGACACAAGAUAUUUUAAAAUUUAUGCUUCAGACAUUGAUGAAAUUUAUAGUAAUUUAACGUAACAAUUGAAUAAACGUUGUAAUGGAGAUUGAAGAAGAUGUUGUUUGCUGGAAAAGUAAUAAUAGGGUAUGUCAUA
rnacentral:lncRNA from 1 species